rnacentral:rRNA from 1 species
AUAAUUUUUAUUUAUUAAUUAUGUUUAUUUAUGAUUUAUAUAUUAGAAAUAACUGUAAAAUUUAAUGUUUUAGUAUUGUUUAAAGAAAAAAUAAUUUUUAUAAUAGUUUAAUAGUAUUGUAAAAGAAAAUUGAAAUAGUUUGAAAAAAUUUUAUUUUAAAAGAAAAUUUAAUUUAUUGUACCUUGUGUAUCAGCGUUUAUUAAAUAAAAAAAAAAUAUUUUUUUUUCUCGAUUUUAAAAGAGUUAAUAUAAUAAAUAAGUUAAUGUGAUAAAAUUAUUUAAAAUAUUAUAUUAGAAAUGAAAUGUUAUUCGUUUUUAAAGGUAUCUAGUUUUCUAAGAAAUGAAUUUAAUUCAGAAAUUUAAAAUUUAUUAAAUUUUUUAUUUAAUUUAAUAAUUUUUAAAUUUUAAUAUUUUAUGGGAUAAGCUAUAAAAUAUAUUUUUAAAAAUAAUAAAUAAAUUUAAUAAAUAUAUGCUUAGAAUUAGCAAUUAUUAAAAAAUUUGUUAUAAUUUAUUUUAUAAAUUAAAUUAUUUAUUAGAUUUUAAUUAUUUAUUAGAAUAUUAAUUUUAAUUAUUAAAAUUAAGAAAUAAUGAUAAAAUUAGUAUAUUUUUAUGUUAAAAUAAAUUUUAAUGAAAAGUUUAAGUAAAG